ACUUAUUAUUUCAUUUCCCCCUCAGUCUUUGGUAAACAUGUAUGUAUUUACAUUCGCGAUUCAUAUUGGUAACCCCGGAUUGACGCAUCCUCCGUCCGCGGGGCGCGAAGCAGACUUGCGCGGGGUUUUCCUCAGCGCGGUCGCGGUAGGAUCUCACACAUUCCCCGGCGCUUUAGCAUAGCGGCUGUGGGCCGAAAAUUAAUAAUUAGAAACAGUUGGAAUUCACGAGAACUUCGUGUUCAUCAGCGCACUUGGUCGUGAUUAUUUUAUGGCGUAACGUUAAAUCACAUUUGUACAGGCAGACAGUCAUCUGUUAACACGGGCCGAAACGAAAAAGCCUCGCGACGCGAUCAGGCCGCUCACGGAGGAUGUGUCACGCAAAAUGGUGCUGCUUCAUGCUGUUAACGUAACCAAUGUGAUGUAUUUGUGGACAUUUGCUAACUUAAGGUAUUUAUCUGGAGAGAGGAACAAAGACGAAAGGAAAAGUGCCAUCUAAAACAACAGGCAGACUGUUCAGAAGAAACGGGUUGCGUUCAACCUACAUGUGGACACUCUUCUGUGCAAAGUGAUGGAUUUUCAGUGGAAUUUCUGAAAUCCUAUCUUUGAAUCCUGGGAUGGAACAUCAUCUGGAGCAGAAUUGUUCUUUUUUGAUCGCAAGUUUGUUGGACUUGUUGUUUGGCCAUGUUGGUAUGUUCAUGAAGUGAUAAAAGUGAUGUGGGUUUUAAGAAAUGUUUUUAUAUGACCCUGUUGGUCAAGUUAUAGUUAUAAUUGUAUUUCUUUGUGUGAAGGGCCAUGAUGGCCAAUAAGUAAUUUAAAAACAUUUUCAUGACAAAAUUUUGUCCCUUUAAAAAAUAAAAUGAUUUUCUAAAUAAAAAAUAAAUUCAAAAUAA